GACGAACGCUGGCGGCGUGCUUAACACAUGCAAGUCGAACGGAAAGGCCCUGCUUGCAGGGUGCUCGAGUGGCGAACGGGUGAGUAACACGUGGGUGAUCUGCCCCUUACUUUGGGAUAAGCCUGGGAAACUGGGUCUAAUACUGGAUAGGACCAUGCUGUAGGUGGUGUGGUGGAAAGAUUAGUUUCGGUAAGGGAUGAGCUCGCGGCCUAUCAGCUUGUUGGUGGGGUAAUGGCCUACCAAGGCGUCGACGGGUAGCCGGCCUGAGAGGGUGGACGGCCACAUUGGGACUGAGAUACGGCGCAGACGCCUACGGGAGGCAGCAGUGGGGAAUAUUGCACAAUGGGCGCAAGCCUGAUGCAGCGACGCCGCGUGGGGGAUGACGGCCUUCGGGUUGUAAACUCCUUUCGGCCAUGACGAAGCCCUUGUGGUGACGGUAGUGGUAGAAGAAGCACCGGCUAACUACGUG
rnacentral:rRNA from 1 species